ACAAAACAUCAUCCAAAUGAUCCAAUUAUUCCAAAUUUAGUCUUCCCCUUUUCUCCAUUAACGGGACAAAGUACGUAAAUACUAGCGACUGGUUAGAAUUAGAUGCACCCCACUAAUAUCUGAAUGUGACAGAUCAGUAAAGGGAGCCUGUGCGAGAUGUGCGCCUGCACAGAGCCCCCAAAUAUCUAGGGCCCCCAAUUUGUUUCUAUGCAUCAUACUUAUUAGAAAUAAUUAUGAGAAUAGUCAUGAAUUUAAGAUUAUGCAAUAAAUACACGAGCUUUACUACUGGGUAUCUGACCACUGCAUGCAAGCCUCUCCCUUUUCAUCUCGUCCAAUCUCAGUUGCACAUUN
rnacentral:lncRNA from 1 species